rnacentral:rRNA from 1 species
AUUGAACGCUGGCGGAAUGCUUUACACAUGCAUGUCGAACGGUAGAGGGGGCAACCCCUCGAGAGUGGCGAACGGGUGAGUAAUAUAUCGGAACGUGCCCAGUCGUGGGGGAUAACGUAGCGAAAGUUACGCUAAUACCGCAUACGAUCUAGGGAUGAAAGCGGGGGAUCGCAAGACCUCGCGCGAUUGGAGCGGCCGAUAUCAGAUUAGGUAGUUGGUGGGGUAAAGGCUCGCCAAGCCAACGAUCUGUAGCUGGUCUGAGAGGACGACCAGCCACACUGGAACUGAGACACGGUCCAGACUCCUACGGGAGGCAGCAGUGGGGAAUUUUGGACAAUGGACGCAAGUCUGAUCCAGCCAUUCCGCGUGCAGGAUGAAGGCCCUCGGGUUGUAAACUGCUUUUGUACGGAACGAAAAGGUCUCUCUUAAUACGGGGGACUCAUGACGGCACCGUAAGAAUAAGCACCGGCUAACUACGUGCCAGCCGCCGCGGUAA